rnacentral:misc_RNA from 1 species
CCAGGUGUAGCCAAAGGCGUUGACGAGCACUCCAACUUCGCGUACCGCCCGACGGAUCGCUUGCGAACAACGAUGACAUAUGUGUACUGCAUGAUCUAUGGAACUCCAGAGGAGAAGAAUACCAUCGUCGACUGGGUCCACAAGGCACACUCUGUGGUCAAGGGACCAGACUACACAGCAGAUGACCCGGAUGGGGUCGCAGCCACGUUGUACGGCGCCGGCACCGAGAUCUACGAGAUGUUCUUCGACAAGCCAAAUGAGAAGGAGGCCGACCGAAUCUACCGCA